AGUGAACGCUGGCGGUAGGCCUAACACAUGCAAGUCGAACGGCAGCACAGUAAGAGCUUGCUCUUACGGGUGGCGAGUGGCGGACGGGUGAGGAAUACAUCGGAAUCUACUUUUUCGUGGGGGAUAACGUAGGGAAACUUACGCUAAUACCGCAUACGACCUACGGGUGAAAGCAGGGGAUCUUCGGACCUUGCGCGAUUGAAUGAGCCGAUGUCGGAUUAGCUAGUUGGCGGGGUAAAGGCCCACCAAGGCGACGAUCCGUAGCUGGUCUGAGAGGAUGAGCAGCCACACGGGAGGUGGGACACGGUAGCGACGAACACGGGAGGCAGCAGUGGGGAAUAUUGGACAAUGGGCGCAGGCUUGAACCGCCCAUACGGGGUGAGAGAAGAGGGCCUGCGUGUUAUAACGCUCUUUGGUUGGGAAAAAAAGGCAGAGGGUUAAUACCCCGCGUUCCGGCGGCGCCCGAAAUAGUAAGAAGGGCCAAGCUUGGUG
rnacentral:rRNA from 1 species